GUUUCUGAAGCCAUCUGCCAUCUUCUCUCUGGACUCACAGGGCUCAGCCUUCCUCCACGCUGCAGGCUCUGGGCCUAAGAGGCUUUUGCCUCUUUUGCUUAUUCUUCUCUAAAAAGCAUCAGUUUCUGCACCACCACCGAGGAUCCCUUCUUUUUUUUUAACCACCAUCACCUAGUGGUUUUAAUUUCAUAAUUACCAGC
rnacentral:lncRNA from 1 species